CUAAGAAUCUUCCUCAAUGGGGGAAACCCUGAAGGAGCGACACUGCGUGCAGGAUGAAGGCCCUUUGGGUUGUAAACUGCUUUUGUAGGGGAGAAACAACCGAAUGGGAUGAUAGUACCCUACGAAUAAGUCCCGGCUAACUACGUGCCAGCAGCCGCGGUAAAACGUAAGGGGCGAACGUUGCUCGGAAUUACUGGGCGUAAAGGGCCGGUAGGUGGCUUUAUAAGUCAGUUGUCAAAUACCCAUGCUCAACGUGGGAGAGGCGACUGAUACUGUAGAGCUUGAGUAGAGGAGGGGAUGACGGGAAUACCCGGGUGUAGGGGUGAAAUCUGUUGAUAUCGGGUAGAACACCGGAUGGCGAAAGCGGUCAUCUAGCCUCAUACUGACACUCAACGGCGAAAG
rnacentral:rRNA from 1 species